rnacentral:lncRNA from 10 species
AGGAGGGGUUUUAUUUUCUAAAAAGGCAUCUACGGAUGAAAAUAAUCUUAAUGCUCUCUUUCUCUAUGGUUGGUUCUGUCUGCAUUGGCCCUGGGCAACAUCUGUUGAUAGAACUUUGCUUCACUGUAAUUGAAAAAGCAAGCAAACAUGUAUCAACAUCUGUAAACGUUUUCAUUCAGUCCACCAUGGAACUGAAAUACAUCCCAUGUUUACCAUGCCUUUAUCCUCUUUUCCACCCACCUUCAA